CAUGCACCAGUGGGGUCCCUCAGCCUGGCCUGCACCCUCUCGCAAUCUGGGACCCCUCGGGGGUUGUUGGUGAGCCGGUUUUGGCCUGAUCCUGCAGGCCAGGCUGAGGGACCCUACUGGUGUACA
rnacentral:pre_miRNA from 1 species